AGAGUAAGCUAGCUAGGAGCACUUGCUAGUGACUAUUUACCUCCCAAUUCUGAAAACUCUGUUUGCAGUCUAAGGUCGGUACAAGUUAAACUGUUAACCUUGAACACCAUUUGGGCUGGCUGCUUGUUGGAGUCCUGGUAAUGGCUAACCUUAACCUUACCUAGCAGAGAGGUUGCAGUACUUUAGUCUCUUCCUGCGAGCAGACCUCUCAUCAUUCUCCCUGAUGAUUUCUAAUGUUUAGGGAGGGACUGAAGCACAUAGAAGAUGGAGGUUUGGGUGGAUGGAGAGAUGGCAGGAAUAGGGGGACGCAGCAGAGAGGGUGCCUAUUGUACAUCGGGCCUAGGACUACAGAUGAAAAAUAGCCUUUUGGCUAACUCUGGCAUAUUUUGAGCUGUCAUGUUAAUAUGUACUAUCCUUGCAAAU